UUUGCUUUGGCAGCACGUGUCCUAGUUGGAAUGAUACAGAGAAGAAUAGCAUGGCCUUUGUACCAGGACAACAUGCGGGUUCAUGAAGUGGUCCAUAUUUUU